rnacentral:rRNA from 1 species
UACGGAAGGCAGCAGUGGGGAAUAUUGCACAAUGGGCGCAAGCCUGAUGCAGCCAUGCCGCGUGUAUGAAGAAGGGCCUUCGGGUUGUAAAGUACUUUCAGUCGUGAGGAAGGUGUUAAGGUUAAUAACCUUAGCAAUUGACGUUAGCGACAGAAGAAGCACCGGCUAACUCCGUGCCAGCAGCCGCGGUAAUACGGAGGGUGCGAGCGUUAAUCGGAAUUACUGGGCGUAAAGGGCACGCAGGCGGUUAAUUAAGUUGGAUGUGAAUCCCCGGGCUUAACCUGGGAAUGGCAUUCAAGACUGGUUAGCUAGAGUCUUGUAGAGGGGGUAGAAUUCCAUGUGUAGCGGUGAAAUGCGUAGAGAUGUGGAGGAAUACCGGUGGCGAAGGCGGCCCCUGGGACAAAGACUGACGCUCAUGUGCGAAAGCGUGGGGAGCGAAACAGGGAUUAGAUACC